rnacentral:tRNA from 1 species
GGGUAUAGCUAAGUGGUAGAGCGCCUGCCUAGCAUGCAUGAUGUCCUGGGUUCAAUCCCCAGUCCCU